rnacentral:rRNA from 1 species
UACAGAGGGUGCGAGCGUUGAUCGGAAUUACUGGGCGUAAAGCGCGCGUAGGUGGUUUUAUAAGUCGGGUGUGAAAGCCCCGGGCUCAACCUGGGAACUGCAUUCGAGACUGUAAGACUAGAGUAUGGGAGAGGGGUGUGGAAUUCCCGGUGUAGUGGUGGAAUGCGUAGAUAUCGGGAGGAACAUCAGUGGCGAAAGCGGCACCCUGGCAUUAGCCUGACGCUCAGGUGCGAAAGCGUGGGGAGCGAACGGG